AUUGAACGCUGGCGGCAGGCUUAACACAUGCAAGUCGAGCGGGGGAAGGUAGCUUGCUACCGGACCUAGCGGCGGGCGGGUGAGUAAUGCUUAGGAAUCUGCCUAUUAGUGGGGGACAACAUCUCGAAAGGGAUGCUAAUACCGCAUACGUCCUACGGGAGAAAGCAGGGGCUCUUCGGACCUUGCGCUAAUAGAUGAGCCUAAGUCGGAUUAGCUAGGUGGUGGGGUAAAGGCCUACCAAGGGGACGAUCUGUAGCGGGUCUGAGACGAUGAUCCGCCACACUGGGACUGAGACACGGCCCAGACUCCUACGGGAGGCAGCAGUGGGGAAUAUUGGACAUGGGGGGAACCCUGAUCCAGCCAUGCCGCGUGUGUGAAGAAGGCCUUAUGGUUGUAAAGCACUUUAAGCGAGGAGGAGGCUACUUUAGUUAAUACCUAGAGAUAGUGGACGUUACUCGCAGAAUAAGCACCGGCUAACUCUGUGCCAGCAGCCGCCGUAA
rnacentral:rRNA from 1 species